AUUGAACGCUGGCGGCAGGCCUAACACAUGCAAGUCGAACGGUAACAGGAAGCAGCUUGCUGCUUUGCUGACGAGUGGCGGACGGGUGAGUAAUGUCUGGGAAACUGCCUGAUGGAGGGGGAUAACUACUGGAAACGGUAGCUAAUACCGCAUAACGUCGCAAGACCAAAGAGGGGGACCUUCGGGCCUCCUGCCAUCGGAUGUGCCCAGAUGGGAUUAGCUAGUAGGUGGGGUAACGGCUCACCUAGGCGACGAUCCCUAGCUGGUCUGAGAGGAUGACCAGCCACACUGGAACUGAGACACGGUCCAGACUCCUACGGGAGGCAGCAGUGGGGAAUAUUGCACAAUGGGCGCAAGCCUGAUGCAGCCAUGCCGCGUGUAUGAAGAAGGCCUUCGGGUUGUAAAGUACUUUCAGCGGGGAGGAAGGGAGUAAAGUUAAUACCUUUGCUCAUUG
rnacentral:rRNA from 1 species